rnacentral:rRNA from 1 species
CAUAGGUUAAUGAGGCGAACCGGGGGAACUGAAACAUCUAAGUACCCCGAGGAAAAGAAAUCAACCGAGAUUCCCCCAGUAGCGGCGAGCGAACGGGGAGCAGCCCAGAGCCUGAAUCAGUGUGUGUGUUAGUGGAAGCGUCUGGAAAGGCGCGCGAUACAGGGUGACAGCCCCGUACACAAAAAUGCACAUGCUGUGAGCUCGAUGAGUAGGGCGGGACACGUGGUAUCCUGUCUGAAUAUGGGGGGACCAUCCUCCAAGGCUAAAUACUCCUGACUGACCGAUAGUGAACCAGUACCGUGAGGGAAAGGCGAAAAGAACCCCGGCGAGGGGAGUGAAAAAGAACCUGAAACCGUGUACGUACAAGCAGUGGGAGCACGCUUAGGCGUGUGACUGCGUACCUUUUGUAUAAUGGGUCAGCGACUUAUAUUCUGUAGCAAGGUUAACCGAAUAGGGGAGCCGAAGGGAAACCGAGUCUUAACUGGGCGUUAAGUUGCAGGGUAUAGACCCGAAACCCGGUGAUCUAGCCAUGGGCAGGUUGAAGGUUGGGUAACACUAACUGGAGGACCGAACCGACUAAUGUUGAAAAAUUAGCGGAUGACUUGUGGCUGGGGGUGAAAGGCCAAUCAAACCGGGAGAUAGCUGGUUCUCCCCGAAAGCUAUUUAGGUAGCGCCUCGUGAAUUCAUCUCCGGGGGUAGAGCACUGUUUCGGCAAGGGGGUCAUCCCGACUUACCAACCCGAUGCAAACUGCGAAUACCGGAGAAUGUUAUCACGGGAGACACACGGCGGGUGCUAACGUCCGUCGUGAAGAGGGAAACAACCCAGACCGCCAGCUAAGGUCCCAAAGUCAUGGUUAAGUGGGAAACGAUGUGGGAAGGCCCAGACAGCCAGGAUGUUGGCUUAGAAGCAGCCAUCAUUUAAAGAAAGCGUAAUAGCUCACUGGUCGAGUCGGCCUGCGCGGAAGAUGUAACGGGGCUAAACCAUGCACCGAAGCUGCGGCAGCGACACUAUGUGUUGUUGGGUAGGGGAGCGUUCUGUAAGCCUGCGAAGGUGUGCUGUGAGGCAUGCUGGAGGUAUCAGAAGUGCGAAUGCUGACAUAAGUAACGAUAAAGCGGGUGAAAAGCCCGCUCGCCGGAAGACCAAGGGUUCCUGUCCAACGUUAAUCGGGGCAGGGUGAGUCGACCCCUAAGGCGAGGCCGAAAGGCGUAGUCGAUGGGAAACAGGUUAAUAUUCCUGUACUUGGUGUUACUGCGAAGGGGGGACGGAGAAGGCUAUGUUGGCCGGGCGACGGUUGUCCCGGUUUAAGCGUGUAGGCUGGUUUUCCAGGCAAAUCCGGAAAAUCAAGGCUGAGGCGUGAUGACGAGGCACUACGGUGCUGAAGCAACAAAUGCCCUGCUUCCAGGAAAAGCCUCUAAGCAUCAGGUAACAUCAAAUCGUACCCCAAACCGACACAGGUGGUCAGGUAGAGAAUACCAAGGCGCUUGAGAGAACUCGGGUGAAGGAACUAGGCAAAAUGGUGCCGUAACUUCGGGAGAAGG